GUGGAGCACAAGCAAGAGGCUUUAAUGGCGGCAGGCCUGCCCCGUCCAGCCCACAGGGCACACUACAGCCUCCUUCCACCACCAGGGCCAACUCGGGCAGGUCCACAGUGGGCACAGUCCCCUCCACGUCUCCACCCAGCUGGGCGCAGGCAGGCGAGCCAUCGCUUAGGGCUCUGCCCUUCUGAAGAGCCCGCCCUCCAGAGGUGGAGAGACCCCCACCUGGCUCUGUCUGCUUCUCUGGGUCCUGAGUCACAGCCAGUCACUUCCUGGCCCUCCCCUCCACAGGGCGAAUGUCCCUGGGGCCAAGGCUGGGCCCCGGGGAGUGUCUCUGCCAGCCCACUGGGUUCACCCAGGGUGCGGCACACACAGUGGAGCCGUCACAUGGGGACCAGCCAAGGCAAGAGGAAUGAGUUUCUGCCACAGCAGGUGCUGUCAGGACCCAGCCGGCCAGUGGCCACCUGGCCACACCCCAGAGCGAGCCUGGGGGCUAAAGUACGAGCCUCAUGACAAGCAGAGAACAGGAGAGAGAUGUGCCCCACAGGGGCGGGAGCCUGUUAGUCACCACACCCCCAGGUGUGCCCACUGAGGCUCUGGGCUGGGUGGCAGGGGAGGCACGUGGGGAUCACCCUCCCCAGCGGAGGGGCUAGGUGGGCCCCGGGAACUCUGGCCAGGCCCAGGGGCACGUGUAGGAGAAGUAGGAGAUUAGAGAAGAAAGGACCAGACAGCAGGUCACAUGUGGGACAGAUCUCGGGGAUGGAGCUGCCGAGACAACACCUGCCCUAGCAGUGCAGUGGCACACCCGGGGGGCCACUGGACUCUGUCAGCAGGUGCCCCUGGCAGUCUGCAAGCCAGGCCCCUGACGCUGAGCUCCCUGCGGGGAGCCCUCCCGGCCCAGGAUUACUGCCCCAGGGUGGGGCCUUUGGAACAAGCUUGCUCCCUGGGGCAGUGCAGCAGCAGGGAGCCCACCCUGGUGGCCCUGCUCUCACCUCAGGGUGGCCUGCCCAUGGGCCAAGGCCCCAAGGGACAGGAGAGAAAACAAGCUGCUAGAAGGUCUGGGUGGGACACCUGCUGAGCCGGCACAUGCCAAGAGGGUGGCAGAGAUGGUCUCUGCUCCAACCCACAGGGAGUCCAGUGGGUUCCCGCACCUUCCCUGCCAGGCCCUCCUGGCCUGGCCCCUCUGGUGGUGUCUGCCCUGCACACACGCCUUCAGGAUUGCACUCGUCACCCACACCAUGGCCGUGCAGUGUGACCUGGGCCCUGUAGUGGCUCCCCAGCCCGGUCUGUGGGUCAGCAGGGAGCCCUGGCAUUCCCUGCAAGGGCUCCUGGGCUGUCCAGCCCCUGCCUGCCCCCUUGCAAUGCCCCCUGCCCAGCCACGGGUACACUCAGCCUUCAGGCCUCAGCCCGACAUCUCACAGAUCGGGGGUGACUCGGUCCCCAUGGUCGGCACUGCCCUGAGACACUCGGCCUCACUCUGAGCACCCUACGGGUCCAAGUAGAUGGGUGAGGGGUCCCAAGAGCUUGGCCAAAGCCCUUCUCCUCCUGUCCCCAAUUCCCCCAUCGGCCUGCCAGUGCACAGCCAGGCUCCACUGCUCCUGCAUUCUGCCCUCCCACAGCCCCAGCCUCAACCAGGAGCUGGGACAGGGUCCAAACACAGGCCACCCCUCCCGAUACCCACAGGCCCAAUGUGACUCGAGGGGCUUGGCUGUGUCCCAGACCAGGCUCUCGGGGGAGAGGCAGGGGCUCCUGAGAGUAGGCAGUGCCAGGCACCUGCAGCUCAGAGACAGCCUUGGGAAAGAGGUGUGAACAUGUCAUGGCUGGAAGCCCCGCUCCCACCCUCUACCAGUCUGCUCCCCAACUUCCCAGCAGAGCCGCCUGCUCCUCGAUAAGCAGAAGGUCUGAGAACAGCCAGGGGCUCGGCUUGUAUCCUGCUUGGGGUGAGGAUGCCCCAGCCAGGGGAGGCCCAGACAGCCUGAACCUGAGGACUCCAGGACUCACCGUCAGCACAAAAGUUUCCAGGGCUGCAAGGCCAGCUGAGAGCCCCAGUGAGUGACACCAGGGGCCCAGGCGGCUGGGAUCCCAGCAGGCACUUCCCCGGGGACCUCAGCCAGCCUGCCAGCCCCGAGCGCCUGCUGCUCAGUCUGGGAGAGCAAGCGUCUGGCUUCUCCCUCACUCCAAAGUGAGGUAAACAGAAAGGCACGCAGGGCAACAUGCAAAUCAGCCGGAAAGUCCCGGCUGGCCAAUAACAGCCAGGCCCACAGUGACACACACACACACACACACACACACCCCGGGUGGGGGGGACGUACAAAACUGCCCGAGAGCCAGGCCCAGUAUGUCCCCCUCCCUCCUUCCCUGCUUGGCCUGGGGUUCAGUGUUCAGCCCCAGCCUGGGACCCAGGGCUGGCCAGGACCCCAGGCUGGAGUCCAGCACCCCAUCUGUGCCCUGCCUGGGACACGGAGAUCCAUCCUUAGCACCUUGGAAUUGAGCAAGAUGCCCGAAGCCUCCCCUCAGCCCAGUCCCACAGGGCCUGACUUUUGCAAUAGCAGUCUGCUUCCCCCGAUCCUCUAGGCCAGGCCCUGCAGGCCACACCCCAACACCCCUGCCACUGGGAGGCAGGGGGGCUGGGUGGGGGUGUCAUGCCCCAGCCCCCAGGGUGGGAGCGCCUGUUCCACACCCCAUGUCUACUGAGGCCCCCUACCACAGCAAGAAUUCUCCGGCGGUUCCCUGUGCCCCAGAAGCCUGGUCUCUCCUGCCCUCCAGUUCUCGGUGCUAGGAGGAAGCCGCCUUCCACGGGAGGGGCACCCUUGUCCCAAACUGGGAAAAGCCGAGAGGGGCAGGCCAGGGGAGAAAGGGCUUUCCCCAUCAGCUCCCUGCCCCUCCCUUCCAAGCCCCCACCACCUGCCUGUCCCCAGAGCCUGGGGCAGGUGCUCCUGGGACCAGGGGAUUCUGUCUUUAAAGAGUAAAGGUCAGGAAGAAAGCGGUCUGUGCACCUGGCGGGAUGCCUGUUUUCACGGGGACCCUGGGACACUCAGGGCCCUGCAGGGCGAGGAAGGCCGGCUGAGCCAUGAGCAGGCAGCCUUCCUCUGUGGUUUCCGGUGCGGCCCCACCCACCUCACCUGAGGCUGGGGUGGAGGCCCAGGGGUCUUUGUCCCUCCACAUCCAAAGGGUUUCUGGGGCCCUGGCGGACACUCAAGGUCCAGUGCAGCACUGGAGCCUGCCUUCGGUCGUGCCGGCCGGCAGUCUGCUCCAGCACAGCCCUUCCUCUGACACCUCAGGAGCUGUCCCAUCCCUUCUCAGGAGAGAGCCCGAGGCCCAGCUGGAGCACGGGAUCUGCUGGGACAUCACCUCCAGGAGGAUGCGGGACACAGGUCCCCACCCCACUUCCCCCUGGACACACCCAGAGGGGUCUGGGCCAGAGGAGUGAGCAGCCAGCCACGUGACUCUGGGCCUGGGGUUUCUCAUAACACUAGAGGUGGUACUAGUAGAGAUGGACCCAGAUCUGGAAAGAAUCAGGAAGACGACACACGAGUCAAGUGGGAGAGCUCCACAGACAGCAGCUCCUCCGUGACAGCCACAGCUGGAGGCUGAGAUAGGCCAGGAAGCCCACCCAGGGACACGCCACCAGCAAGAGGUGACACCAACUGGCCAAGCCCCAUUCUUUCUGCUUCCUCCACUGCUGCCACAAACCUAGAAGCCCCACAGGGUGGUGCAUGGCCCCACACCAAGCUGGGGAGCAGCCACAUGCAGCAUGUGUGCUGAUGGUGCCCCCAGGCUGGCAGACCCUGCAGCUGUAUCUUCUUCCCACUCCCCAGGCCCUUCAGCCAGCCAGGUAGCCAAGGGUCACGCUACUGGGGGCUCUUGUGCUGGGGAGGGGGGCACACUGACAGCUAAACACAAGUCUGAUCCUGGAGGUGCGAGGAGCCUAUGGGGGAGGCAGGCGGACAGAGGGUCAACAUCUCGCGAAUCUCAUUCACUCUCUCUGAGAGACUUUUCAGUGGGUGCUGAAGACCCUGAUCUUUUCUACUCAGUCCCACAAAUAUCUUGACAGUUACACACAGUGGAAGUCAUGUCACAGGAACGGCUCAGGUUGGGGGCCCCUUCUUCCUGGGCAGUCACCUCUCUCAGCUUGGCUGCCCAUAUCCCUGCUCCCCUCCGAGGGAGAGUCUGGCUUUCUGGAGAGACUGUAGCUAUAGGAUGCGGGAACCUUGGGACAUGGGGACCAGGGCUUCUGUGGAAAACAUGAAGACCCAGAGCAGUGCAAGUAGGCAUUUACAUCAGAGAGGCAAUGCCUGCCACACAGGUCCUCAGGGAAGGGGUCUGGGAAGGGGAGGCCACAAGCCUGGGGAAGGCUAGGGGGCAGGCAGCCCAGAGAGGGCUUGUGUGUCCCCAGGGAGGGGUCUGAGAGGUGGUGAGAAAGGUGGGCAGACAGUCCAGGCAGCAUGGUGCUCCUAUGGAAGCGAAGGAACAAGCAGGGUGCAACCCCACCCUGCUCUCUGAGAGCAGCAUGGGACCCAACAGGACCCACACCUGGACCUGAGCCCCAGCCCCCACUGACCACCCUGGCCUGGCUCAGGACAACCAUGCCUGGACAGCUGGACCCCAAUGGGGACUAAGAGGUUGGCCCAGCCUUCUCAUACUCUCCCACUUCCCCAGUGAACCCCCAAGUCCGAUCUCCACAUGUGAUAAGGCUGUCUACUACACCGAGAUCUGCUCCUGCCUCUCCUGUGCUUCAAGUCCUCCAACAGCCUGGUUGUCAGCACCAUAAAAUCCCUACCUUGCACCGUGUGAACCUCCCCUGGCCUCAUCCACUUCCUCACUCAACUCCACCACUGGCGAUACUCACUGGGGUAUGCCAAGGCCUUUUUUACCCAAGGCCUUUGUACCUGUGGCUCCCUCUGCCUGGAAUGCUCUUCCCGCAACAUCCCAGGAUUGGCUGCUUCUCCAUCGGAUCUUUGGCUAACCGUAGCGCUGCCACCCCCCCUCGCUUUCUCAGUACCCUGUUUUUUUCUGUCAUAGCACCUCUCACUCACUGCUCCUUGGAAUUUCGUCUGGCCAUUGUCAGUCCCUCCACGCCAUUUCUCUAGACCAGGAGACAUUUGCCAAUGUCUGGAGACAUUUUUGUUGUCACAACGGCAGGGGGAUGUGUUGACUGGUAUCUAGUGGGUAAAAGCCAGGGAUGGUGCUCAACAUCCUACAAUGCACGGCCAGCCCCUCGCAGCAAAGAAUGACCCGGCCGGAACUGUCAAGAGCGCGGAGGGUGAGGAACCCUGCACCAGACCAUGAGCUUAUGAGACCUGGGAUCGUGUUCUCCGCAGUCUCCCGGCGCCUAGAACCGUGCAUGGCACCCAGUGAAUGCAGGAAAAAGGAACGAAUAAAGAAUGAGAGAAAGAGGGAAGGAGCAAGCGACGGACGAGCUGACAGGCAGGGAGACUGACCGACGCAGAGACCCUGGACGUCCAGCCCCGCCCCCCAGCCCAAACCUCCCCCACGCCGGCCCCGACGCGCCCGCCUGGCCCCACCGCGCUGCCUCGAGGCGCGAGCCCCGAUCCGGGCGCG